GUGGCGAACGGGUGAGUAACGCGUAAUCAACCUGCCCUUCAGAGGGGGACAACAGUUGGAAACGACUGCUAAUACCGCAUACGAUCUAACCUCGGCAUCGAGGAAAGAUGAAAGGUGGCCUCUAUGUAUAAGCUAUCACUGAAGGAGGGGAUUGCGUCUGAUUAGCUAGUUGGAGGGGUAACGGCCCACCAAGGCGAUGAUCAGUAGCCGGUCUGAGAGGAUGAACGGCCACAUUGGGACUGAGACACGGCCCAGACUCCUACGGGAGGCAGCAGUGGGGAAUCUUCCGCAAUGGACGAAAGUCUGACGGAGCAACGCCGCGUGAGUGAUGACGGCCUUCGGGUUGUAAAGCUCUGUUAAUCGGGACGAAAGGCCUUCUUGCGAAUAG
rnacentral:rRNA from 1 species